AGCAGCCCGUAGUGGCCCCGAUGGUGUUCGGCUUGCAAGGGCCCGCCCGCCUUACAGCUGUGAUAAGGUAAACAGCGGGCGGCGCUAGUGGGCUGCGCCCCGCGUCAUCUUCGGGACGGGGGGGAUGGCGUCCUAUCCCGCCCCUUCUGAGGCGUGUUGCUGCGGUAGCUCUACAGGCGCAGCUAAUGCCUGGCGAGACCCUUCACGGCAGGGCUAGAGGCGGGCCUAGCCACAUGACCCCUCCGUACCCCGUGAUUCCUGGAAGCGGCGCUCCCUAGAGGAGCGAGGGGGACUCCUGCGCUCCGUCCUGAAGGCACCAAGCACUUCCUGGAAUACCCAGCGCUGCACGGCGGCGCGGACACAAGGCUCGGCUCGCUCCAGGAGCAGGCACUCAAGCCUUUCCCCUGCUACAGAUUUCCCCCCUUUACAGCUGCAAGAGGAACAUGGCAUAAAUACAGUAAUUAAUGUACAGAAACAAACAGGUUCAGAAUGUGGCCAUCUGUCUGGAUUUUGACAAUUCUUAGCUAAUUUUUAAACAACUUUCUUUCGUAAGAUAUCCUAGUUAACAAAAGCAAAGAACAAGAUGUGUAUCAGGUAAUUUGUAUGCAUUUUAGUCCCAUACUCACAUCUUUAAUUUAAAAAUUAAUCUUACAUGUAUUUGCUUUUCAAGACUUGCAUUUUCUAAAUUAUAAACAUUCAGUAUUUUAAUAUCACAGAUGUUUUAGUCACUGGAUGAAGCUUAUCACUUUCUCACAAUGUUAAACAUUUUCUAUCAAACACUGAAUCAAGGAAACAAAUUCCAUUUUAAAAAUUUCAAUUAAAAGAAAAGUACUAUGGCAAAGUUCCAGUACAUUUGGAUCUUGAAAUAAAUUUAAUUAUGAAAAAUUUAUGUGUUUCAGUUUUUCCUGGCCCUGUUAUCCAGUUUACAGAUAGACAUAUCUGGUCCCAUUUACAAUCCUCAUUUGCAAGAUUAUUUUUUCAAGAGUGUGUUUGUACAAGCAAAAUUUUAUUUGCUCCAUAUCCUUUAUAUGUAAAGUAGAAAUUUCAGCAUUUAAACUUAAUGAGGUAAAAUGCUCUACUUGAAAGGUGAAAGGCACAUAUCCAGUACUAUUACACUGAACUGAAAAAACAAGAUUUGUAAUUCCCAGUCAUCUGCUAUAUCAAAACAAUGCUUAAAAAAAAAAAAAUGCUUCAACUGUAGCUUCCUCCUCCCCCAAUCUAUUACUUUUAAAGAGUACUGCCAAAAGUAUUUAAUGGGUAACUACUUUUAAACUACAGCUGUGUUACUAGUUUACUAAAUGAAGUUUCAUGUCUUGUAUGAGAAUACAAAUUCUGUUAAUUCUUUAAACAUGCUCAGAAUCCUAAAUAUUUUACUUUCAUCCAAUUAAAAACUUUUAUUGUUGUAAAAUUAGGAGAGAGUGAUCUAAACUACCAUCUUCUGUAAUAUAGUCUGUAUAACUUUAACAGUAAAAAGAAAGGUAUGUUUGUAGCCACGUGCUGAUUACACUUUAAAAAAAGGACUGUCCACGUAUCUAAAACAUCGGUGGUCUUAAUUCUACAGCAGAAUAUAAGGUGCUUUAAACAAUACAUAGAAUCAACAGUCUUUGUGCUACCAUAUUCUGCAUUAAGAUUACUCCCAAGAAGCUAUUUUCAGUUAAAGCAAUUCUAUUAUAAAAUGUUGAUAGGACCAGACUUCUACAUUGUCCAAUUAUACAAUAUGUAAAAAUCAGUUACUGGGUGCUCUGUUUUCAGUUACUCUUUUUUCAGCUGUGAACAUCUAUGCAGUUACUGUGAAUGAUCUAUGUGCUGUUUUUUUAAUAAAAAAAAACUACUUUCGUAAUAGAAAAAACUUUCAAACAUGUCAAUAAAAUAUGCCUUUAUUUACUUUUUUCCUAGAUAA